AGCGAACGCUGGCGGCAGGCCUAACACAUGCAAGUCGAGCGGGCACCGCAAGGUGUCAGCGGCAGACGGGAGAGUAACACGUGGGAACGUGCCCUUUGGUUCGGAACAACUCCGGGAAACUGGAGCUAAUACCGGAUAAGCCCUUACGGGGAAGAUUUAUCGCCAAAGGAGCGGCCCGCGUCCGAUUAGCUAGUUGGUGAGGUAAUGGCUCACCAAGGCGACGAUCGGUAGCUGGCUAAGAGGAUGAUCAGCCUCACUGGGACUGAGACACGGCCCAGACUCCUACGGGAGGCAGCAGUGGGGAAUAUUGGACAAUGGGCGCAAGCCUGAUCCAGCCAUGCCGCGUGGAUGAUGAAGGCCUUAGGGUUGUAAAGUCCUUUUAACGGGGAAGAUAAUGACGGUACCCGUAGAAUAAGCCCCGG
rnacentral:rRNA from 1 species